rnacentral:rRNA from 1 species
CCUACGGGUGGCAGCAGUGAGGAAUAUUGGUCAAUGGGCGGGAGCCUGAACCAGCCAAGUCGCGUGAGGGACGACGGUCCUAUGGAUUGUAAACCUCUUUUGUCGGGGAACAAAGGUUUCCACGUGUGGGCGUUUGCGUGUACCCUAAGAACAAGCAUCGGCUAACUCCGUGCCAGCAGCCGCGGUAAUACGGAGGAUGCGAGCGUUAUCCGGAUUUAUUGGGUUUAAAGGGUGCGUAGGUGGAUGUUUAAGUCAGCGGUAAAAUUGUGGGGCUCAACGCAGAACAGCCGUUGAAACUGGCAGUCUUGAGUGGGCGAGAGGUAGGCGGAAUGCGUGGUGUAGCGGUGAAAUGCUUAGAUAUGACGAAGAACCCCGAUUGCGAAGGCAGCUUGCUGCGGCGGAACUGACGCUGAUGCUCGAAAGCGCGGGUAUCGAACAGGAUUAGAUACCCCGGUAGUC